CUUGCAUUUGAAAGCUGUCCAAAACCAGAAGCUGUCAAGGACUGCUGAAGCUUCACAUUACUGGGUUUUUGAGAUGUCUCCUGUUGCUUAGUUUUGAAAUGCAGCCAGUGCUGGGGCAUUAAAGGAUGUGUCUUUUUGGCUACUGCUCUGCUGGAGCUGAAACUUUCCCAAAACUCACAGCUAAGCAGUUCAGUGUGUGUUGCAUGGGACAGCUACAGAAUUCCAAUUACUGCAAUGGGACUGUAGAAACCUAGUCCUGAUGACCCAGCUACAAUGUUCCAA
rnacentral:lncRNA from 13 species